CUCCUACGGGAGGCAGCAGUGAGGAAUAUUGGUCAAUGGGCGAGAGCCUGAACCAGCCAAGUCGCGUGAGGGAGGACGGCCCUACGGGUUGUAAACCUCUUUUCCCGGGGGACAAACGGCGGCACGCGUGCCGUCCUGAGGGUACCCGGAGAAAAAGCAUCGGCUAACUCCGUGCCAGCAGCCGCGGUAAUACGGAGGAUGCGAGCGUUAUCCGGAUUUAUUGGGUUUAAAGGGAGCGUAGAUGGGUUGUUAAGUCAGUUGUGAAAGUUCGCGGCUCAACCGUAAAAUUGCAAUUGAUACUGGCA
rnacentral:rRNA from 1 species